rnacentral:rRNA from 1 species
AUUGAACGCUGGCGGCAGGCUUAACACAUGCAAGUCGAGCGGAGAUGAGGUGCUUGCACCUUAUCUUAGCGGCGGACGGGUGAGUAAUGCUUAGGAAUCUGCCUAUUAGUGGGGGACAACAUUCCGAAAGGAAUGCUAAUACCGCAUACGUCCUACGGGAGAAAGCAGGGGAUCUUCGGACCUUGCGCUAAUAGAUGAGCCUAAGUCGGAUUAGCUAGUUGGUGGGGUAAAGGCCUACCAAGGCGACGAUCUGUAGCGGGUCUGAGAGGAUGAUCCGCCACACUGGGACUGAGACACGGCCCAGACUCCUACGGGAGGCAGCAGUGGGGAAUAUUGGACAAUGGGGGGAACCCUGAUCCAGCCAUGCCGCGUGUGUGAAGAAGGCCUUAUGGUUGUAAAGCACUUUAAGCGAGGAGGAGGCUGCUGAGACUAAUACUCUUGGAUAGUGGACGUUACUCGCAGAAUAAGCACUGGCUAACUCUGUGCCAGCCGCCGCGGUAA